CAGCAGCCGCGGUAAUACGUAGGUGGCAAGCGUUGUCCGGAAUUAUUGGGCGUAAAGGGCUCGCAGGCGGUUUCUUAAGUCUGAUGUGAAAGCCCCCGGCUCAACCGGGGAGGGUCAUUGGAAACUGGGAAACUUGAGUGCAGUAGAGGAGAGUGGAAUUCCACGUGUAGCGGUGAAAUGCGUAGAGAUGUGGAGGAACACAGUGGCGAAGGCGACUCUCUGGUCUGUAACUGACGCUGAGGAGCGAAAGCGUGGGGAGCGAACAGGAUUAGAUACCCGCGUAGUCCCUGUCUCUUAUACA
rnacentral:rRNA from 1 species